AUUGAACGCUGGCGGCAGGCCUAACACAUGCAAGUCGAGCGAGCGGCGGACGGGUGCGUAAUGUAUGGGGACUGCCCGAUAGAGGGGGAUAACUACUGGAAACGGUGGCUAAUACCGCAUACUGUCGGAUAACCCAUAUGGGAUUAGCUAGUAGGUAAGGUAAUGGCUUACCUAGGCGACGAUCCCUAGCUGGUCUGAGAGGAUGAUCAGCAACACUGGGACUGAGACACGGUCCAGACUCCUACGGAGGCAGCAGGGGGGAAUAAUGCACAAUGGGCACAAGCCUGAUGCAGCCAUGCCGGGUGUAUGCAGAAGGCGCUAGGGUUGUGAAGUACUUGCAGUCGGGAGGCGUUACCGACAGAAUAAGCACCGGCUAACUACAUGCAGGCAGCCGCGGUAAUUC
rnacentral:rRNA from 1 species